CUGUGGACAGACUCUUCUUGGGUGUCGUUCGAUGAAACGAAGACUUCUUCAGAAACAUGGCAUCUUUAUAGGAAGGGAUAACAUGUUGUGUUUAUUGAGAAUAAUCGAUCCUGACGGAGUUGAUCUAAGAGCAAGUCACUGCUUGACAAGAAGAAUGUAUCUAAACAAUGGACCAAAUUAUCUUGCACAUGUUGAUGGGUACGACAAGUUGAAGCCAUUUGGCUUCGCUAUACAUGGUGCAAUGUGUGGAUUUUCAAGACGAAUACUAUGGCUUAAAGUUGCAAGAACAAACAAUGACCCUUUUGUUGUAGCAUCAUAUUUCUUGAAAUACC